UCUGGCCCUAUAGCUUGAGUUGAAGCCUGGGAUAAAGGUCGUUUUUCUUAUGAAGAUCAAAUAACCCAUGGUAGAAUGAUUUUCCUUUUUAAGCUGCUCUUGCUGCAGCUAUAUAACUUGAUAAUGGAGCAUACAACAUCGUGAUGUUUGUUUAAUUGUUUUGCUGUAGGUUUUGGAUGUCAAGUGUGGAAUAGGCAGACCAUUAAGAGAAAUUCCAAGAUUUAGGUUUAAUUCCCGUUUCGCGCUUUCACCUCUCUUCAUAUCUGUGAAUACUGAUGUGUUCGGGUUUAGACAUUCUCAUAUGCAUGAUUAAUGCAACUGAAGUGAUUCAUGUUUUUCUUACUUUGAACUGAAAACCUGUGGGGGCAUGAUUUU
rnacentral:lncRNA from 1 species